ensembl:snRNA U1 U1 spliceosomal RNA
AUACUUACCCAGCAGGGAAAUAGCAUGAUCACAAAGGUGGUUUUCCCCGGGUGAGGCUCACCCAUUGCACUCCGAAUGUGCUGGCCCUGCGAUUUCCUCAAAUGUGGGAAACUCGACUGCAUAAUUUGCGGUAGUGGGGGACUGCGUUCGCGCUCUCCUUUU